GUGACCCCAGGAUGGGCGAGGCCACCCGCU
rnacentral:rRNA from 1 species